rnacentral:rRNA from 1 species
CCUACGGGAGGCAGCAGUGGGGAAUCUUGCACAAUGGGGGGAACCCUGAUGCAGCGACGCCGCGUGAGUGAAGAAGUAUUUCGGUAUGUAAAGCUCUAUCAGCAGGGAAGAAAAUGACGGUACCUGACUAAGAAGCCCCGGCUAACUACGUGCCAGCAGCCGCGGUAAUACGUAGGGGGCAAGCGUUAUCCGGCUUUACUGGGGGUAAAGGGAGCGCAGACGGCUGUGCAAGUCUGGAGUGAAAGGCUGGGGCUCAAACCCCGGACUGCUCUGGAAACUGUAAAGCGGGAGUGCAGGAGAGGUAAGCGGAAUUCCUAGUGUAGCGGUGAAAUGCGUAGAUAUUAGGAGGAACACCAGUGGCGAAGGCGGCUUACUGGACUGCAACUGACGUUGAGGCUCGAAAGCGUGGGGAGCAAACAGGAUUAGAUACCCGAGUAGUC